rnacentral:lncRNA from 1 species
GGCCACCUGCUCGGGUGCCCUUCCACACUGUGGAAGCUUUGUUCUUUUGCUGUUUGCAAUAAAUCUUGCUACUGCUCACUCUUUGGGUCCACGCUGCUUUUAUGAGCUGUAACACUCACCGUGAAGGUCUGCAGCUUCACUCCUGAAACCAGUGAGACCACAAGCCCACCGGGAGGAAGGAACAACUCCAGAUGUGCCACCUUAAGAGCUGUAACAUUCACCGCGAAGGUCUAUAGCUUCACUCCUGAAGCCAGCGAGACCACGAGCCCACCAGGAGGAAUGAACAACUCCAGACGCGCCGCCUUAAGAGCUUUAACACUCACCGCUAAGGUCUGCAGCUUCACUCCUGAAGCCAGCGAGCCCACGAGCCCACCGGGAGGAACGAACAACUCCAGACGUGCCGCCUUAAGAGCUGUAACACUCACCGCCAAGGUCUGCAGCUUCACUCCUGAGCCAACGAGACCACGAACCCACCAGAAGGAAGAAACUCCGAACACAUCAGAAGGAACAAACUCCAGACGCGCCACCUUAAGAGCUGUAACACUCACCGCGAGGGUCCCCGGCUUCAUUCUUGAAGUCAGUGAGACCAAGAACCCACCAAUUCCACACACAUUUUGGCGACCCAGAUGGGACUUUCGCCUAUCGCCAAGCAGUGAGACAAUCGCCGAGCGGCAAGACCAUCACCUAUUGCCAAGCAACCCUGCACUCAAUGGGAUCAGCUGACACCACAAAGACCAGUAAUCUGGCCCAACCAGUUCUGCCAUCUCACCCAGGAACAGAAGACAUUAAGAAAAUCUAACUUCAACCCUCUAUGAUUCCAUCUCCAACCUGAGCAAUCAGCACUCCCCACUUCCCAAGCCCCUACCCACCAAAUUAUCUUUAAAAACUCUGAUCCACGAAUGCUCAAGGAUUUAAGUAACAAUAAAACUCUGGUCUUCC